UGUAAGCAUAUAUUAGUGUGGUGUCCAUCUCUUCAGUGUAAGAAGCAGAGCUGUGUGGAGAUUCCUGCAUAAGACACAAUAGGAAAUACAGGGACUUCCCUAAUGAACAAAGAGACUAUUCCAACCAGAUGUCGGAACAAGACAGACAGGAUUCUAGAAAAUCAGAACAAAUCUCAGACGUUUCCCAAAUGAUAUACCAAUGAUCACAACAAGAAAGGCAAAAAGAAAACACAGUAGCGCAAACUGUGAUGAAAUGGAAUCUACAAUUUGUAAGCCACCAACAGAGAAACUGGGGAUUCCUGCACAAAUGGAGCAUUAAAGUUGAAAUCAAUGUGGAAUGUGUUUAAUACAUAGAACAAUAUAAAUUAUAAAGGUGUCAUUAU